GUGAUGGUUUUUGUACCACGCUCCUCCUGCAUCUAAGAUUGAACACCGCACCUUGAGGUUUCUCUUUUUAGCUUACUUACAUGUAAAGAGGAAAAUAUACACAAAAUGACAUACAGCCUCCUACCAGAUUCUAACACUUUUAAUAAUUCAAACAAAUCAUAAAGAGGACUUAGAAUCCAGUUGAGUAUGUAAUAGUUAUUCACUAACAUAAAAAUGAUAAUCCAUAUCAAGAACAAACAUUCACACCCACACCCCACUUUGAACUCUAGUGUUUACAGAACAACACUCGCAGAAUUUUUACAGGGACUAGAGUUGAGUUUAGAAAUAAUAGAGGUAAGACUUGAUGUUUAACCUCUUUAUUCUUAUCUCUAGAGUCUGAUUGUUGCGCCUUUAGCAUGUCACCGUUUAAUCACAAGAGUACAUUAUUUUAAAAUAAAACUAAAAAGCAAGGCGAUGCAUGCUGAGAACUGUGAAGACCUUGUCGUAAUAACCUUGAUGGCCGUAACAGUUUCAUGCACUUAUUGGUACAGAAGUAUUUUGGAAAAUGUUCAACAAGAUCCUGAAAAAUAGUUUUUAUGAUCACACAUUUUAUCAGCAUGAAUUAGCUAAAAUCACUCCUGGAGAGACACAUUUUAAAGUUUCUAUGAAAAAUCUGAAAAACGCAAACAUGGAACAAUGUCAGCCCUAGAUUUUAGGGGGAUCAGUAGGAACUCGACCGAUGGGGGUGUGAUGAACAGCUCGUCCAUGGAAAGCUGACUGGGAAGAAGGAAAAGAGGGCCUGCAUCUCUCCUCACUGCUGAGAGGUCUGAGUCUCAGAAUCUCCAACAAGAAUAUUUUGAUGCUACAACUCUUCGGAGGGAGAGCCCGUGGUCCGGACGUGGACAGUGAGGUGUAAAUGGUGAGACACACCAACCAGCCUCUUUACGGCUCAAGCCAGGACGCAGAGGCCUCUCCACACGGAGUGCAGGGGACGCCGCCUUCGCAGAGCCGGAGGGUCACAAAGGAUGGCAAAUGGCCUCAGCAAGCUUUGCUUUCACCGCCACCAUGAUGAUAGUUAUCUCACCACAUAAAGUUCUCUGAAAACAGAAUGGCCGCGAUCGUAACAGUCUCCUCAGCACCUCACACGUGUAAUGGAAAUGCUACUGCAAUGAAACAGCUGUAACUGACCACAUCACCCUGCUGGACGAGCUUCUGCGUCAAGCAAUCCUUCACAUCUGCUGUCAUCUCACUCACUCUCUACAGGACUUUCUCAAACUUUCUCUGGGCUCUUCAGUCCUUGAACUUCUCUCUCCAUGAUCCUUCCCCAUUCUCAGCAGGGGACGUCCCCUCCUGGACAGAGAAAUAAGAACCAUCUGACGUGAAUUGCCUCAUUCCAGCCACAAAACCAGCCCCUUCUCCCAGACAAGCGUCAUCUGCUACUUGUGCCUUGGGUCCCACCUCUUCUCACUGUUCCAGGGACCCUCUGCAAUCACUAUACAAUAUUUUUCCCAAUAUCCCCCUCCUGUCUCUCUUUACUGACUUAUUCCCAUUUGCUUUGAACAUACUCAGAUUUUACCCUUUUUAUGCAAAAGACUCCUUUAUUCUUCUUCCCCGCCUUUUAAAAACUACUCUAGCAUCUCAUUUCAGUCAGUGACUUCCAAAAAGUCUCUUCCACAUCUAAUAAAGUUAAGCCUCUAAUAAUAAUGGAGAUUUCUUAUCCCUAGUGUGUUUGUUAUUUUUUUAAUAUUGAUGGAAAGAUUGAAUUAAAAAUAAUGGAGGGGCAGGGCAGUCAGGUGGCUCAGUUGGUGAGAGCCCAAGCUCUGGGCCACAGGGCUGCCGGUUCGCUUUCCACAUAGGCCAGCGAGCUGCACCCUCCGCAACUAGAAUGAAGACAACGAGCUGCAGCUGACUCCCAGGCGUUCGGAGGGCUCAUUUGGCUGCAACUAAGAUUGAACACAGCACUUUGAGGUGCACUGAUGCAGAGCUCCUGAGUGGCUCAGUCGGUUAGAGCGCGGGCUCUCAACCACAAGGUUGUUGGUUCGACUCCCGCAGGAGAUAGUUUUUGUACCGCGCGCCCCCUGCAUCUAAGAUUGAAAACCGCACCUUGAGGUGUGAGCUUCCGAGCGGCCGGGUGGCUCAGUCGGUUAGAGCGCGGGCUCUCAACCACAAUAUUGCUGGUUCGACUCCCGCAGGAGAUGGUUUGUGUGCUGUGCCCCCUGAACACAGCACCUUGAGCUGAGCUCCCGGAUGGCUCAAGUGGUUAGAGAGAGAGCUCUAACCACAAGGAUGUCGGGUUCAAUCCAGUAGGGGGCGUAUUGUGUGUGCCCCCUGCGACUAAAAU